UACGUAGGGUGCGAGCGUUAAUCGGAAUUACUGGGCGUAAAGCGUGCGCAGGCGGCUUUGCAAGACAGGCGUGAAAUCCCCGGGCUCAACCUGGGAACUGCAUUUGUGACUGCAAGGCUAGAGUACGGCAGAGGGGGAUGGAAUUCCGCGUGUAGCAGUGAAAUGCGUAGAUAUGCGGAGGAACACCAAUGGCGAAGGCAAUCCCCUGGGCCUGUACUGACGCUCAUGCACGAAAGCGUGGGGAGCAAACAGG
rnacentral:rRNA from 1 species